rnacentral:rRNA from 1 species
GACGAACGCUGGCGGCGUGCUUAACACAUGCAAGUCGAACGGUAAGGCCCUGCUUUUGUGGGUUGCUCGAGUGGCGAACGGGUGAGUAACACGUGAGUAACCUGCCCUUGACUUUGGGAUAACUUCAGUAAACUGGGGCUCAUAUCGGAUAUGAGCUCCUGCUGCAUGGUGGGGUUUGGAAAGUUUCGGCGGUUGGGGAUGGACUCGCGGCUUUUCCGCGUGUUGGUGGGGUAGUGGCUUACCAAGGCUUUGACGGGUCGCCGGCCUGCGAGGGUGACCGGGCACAGUGGGACUGAGAUAGGGGCAAGACUGAUACGGGAGGAAGCGGUGGGGAAUAGUGCACAAAGGGCGGAAGCCGGAAGCAGGAACGCCGCGUGCGGGAUGACGGCCGUCGGGGUGGAAACCGCGUGCGCCUGGGACGAAGAGUGAGUGACGGUAAUGGGUAAGGAAGCACCGGCUAACUACGUG